rnacentral:rRNA from 1 species
UGGGGAAUAUUGCGCAAUGGACGAAAGUCUGACGCAGCGACGCCGCGUGAGGGAUGAAGGUCUUCGGAUUGUAAACCUCUGUUAAGUGGGAAGAAAUACGCAGGAGUAAUAUGCCUGUGGGCUGACGGUACCACUAGAGAAAGCACCGGCAAACUUCGUGCCAGCAGCCGCGGUAAUACGAAGGGUGCAAGCGUUAUUCGGAGUUACUGGGCGUAAAGAGCGCGUAGGCGGCUUAUUAAGUUGACUGUUAAAUUCCCCGGCUUAACCGGGGCUAAGCGGUCAAUACUGAUGGAGCUAGAGGUUAGGAGAGAGAAGUGGAAUUCUUGGAGUAGCGGUAAAAUGCGUAGAUCUCAAGAGGAACACCGAUUGCGAAGGCAGCUUCUUGGCCUAUACCUGACGCUGAGGUGCGAAAGCGUGGGGAGCAAACAGGAUUAGAUACCCCCGUAGUCC